GAUGAACGCUGGCGGCGUGCCUAAUACAUGCAAGUCGAGCGAACAGACGAGGAGCUUGCUCCUCUGACGUUAGCGGCGGACGGGUCAGUAACACGUGGAUAACCUACCUAUAAGACUGGGAUAACUUCGGGAAACCGGAGCUAAUACCGGAUAAUAUAUUGAACCGCAUGGUUCAAUAGUGAAAGACGGUUUUGCUGUCACUUAUAGAUGGAUCCGCGCCGCAUUAGCUAGUUGGUAAGGUAACGGCUUACCAAGGCGACGAUGCGUAGCCGACCUGAGAGGGUGAUCGGCCACACUGGAACUGAGACACGGUCCAGACUCCUACGGGAGGCAGCAGCAGGGAAUCUUCCGCAAUGGGCGAAAGCCUGACGGAGCAACGCCGCGUGAGUGAUGAAGGUCUUCGGAUCGUAAAACUCUGUUAUUAGGGAAGAACAAAUGUGUAAGUAACUAUGCACGUCUUGACGGUACCUAAUCAGAAAGCCACGGCUAACUACGUG
rnacentral:rRNA from 1 species